rnacentral:lncRNA from 1 species
AAACAUGUUGCUUCCUUACUCCCUCAACCCUCGCCCAUAUACACAACCUCUGAUACUCCUCCCUCAACCUCUAGACCCUCUAACCAACCUUCUCAAAAAUUCAAUCUUGCCACCACAACUCUACCUGUUUCAGAAGCAGAUAUGCUAAACGAACCCACUUCACCCUCUUCAUCACCAUCUCUACAAUCCCCGCCUUACUAUACCCUUUCAUCUGACACGGAAC